rnacentral:lncRNA from 1 species
GGGGUGUGAGGGCCCGGGGAUGUACAGGGGUCCAGGGUGAGGGGCCCGGGGAUGUACAGGGGUCCAGGGGUGAGGGGCCCGGGGGUGCGCGGGGUCCGGCAGGGGCCCGCAGUGGCACCUGCUGUCGGGGCCGGGCAGCGCCGGGGUCUAAACGCCAUUUGCCAGCAUUCCGGGACCCUUUAGCACAGUCGCCCCACCACGCUCUGAUGGGAUUUCAGCUGGAUUGCGACCCCUCCCAGUGGGAGUUCCGCCUCCCUGAGCACCUGGCCCGCUAAGCGAAGGGACAAAUUUCUGCAGAGACACCUUCCCAGAGGCUCAGCAGACAGCUGUGCAGCACUCACUGGGAUGUCUGCGUGGAGACCUCAUUCAGGUCAGAGAACAGCUGUAGCUUGAGGAGAGUUUACUUCCCUAGCCUGACCAUCUUCAGAGUAUCUCUGCAGUUAUAAAAAGGAAAGAUUUUUCCUUUGCAGUUUUUACUUAUUCUACUCAUGCUGCAAGAGUGACCUCAUGAAAAAAAGAGUGUUUCUUAGUGCUAGAUAUAGCACUCAUUUUAUAACAAGUAUUGGAAGAUAGCACUAACAGGCUUCAGUCAUUUCUGAUGGAUUUUGGAUCCUGACAGAAAGUCUGUUACUGGUUCUCUUUCCAGAUAAGCUAUUCAUAGCCAGGGCUCCCACGGCAGGUCCUGAGCCCACUUAGGACAGGCUGCUCCUUGUGGUGGUGGCCAGCCCCAGCUGUUACAUUACCAUGAGUCCAUGACUGCAUUGUUUAAUAAUUUUGCUUUUGUCUUCCUUUGCAGAACUGUUAAAACCAGCAGACAUUCAGGCAACCAGACCAAGACUGGGAAUGCUAAAUGUUGCACACUCAAAACCAUAUGAGCAAAGCAUUUGUUUUCCCUCAAACCUAGGGAACAGCCUACUAAUAAAGGAAUCCCAAAGUGCAGCACAGCGAGAGCUGCUGAGCAUCUUGUCAGCGGUGAGGUGCCUGUGUGCCGCAUGGCGAGGGGAUAGCUCUGCAGGGAACGAUGGGAGGGUGAGCAUCCCCCCUCCUCAUGCCCAUGUGCCAUGGGGCUGGGGGCUAAAUCUCCCAUGUCCUGGCUCAGCCUGGCCUGCUGGCACAUACCUCCCGGCACCUGAAGUGUGUAGGUGCCCUCCAGCACGGCUGCCAGUGUGA